GCUUUCGUGGUGUAGCGGUCAGCACGCUGGGCGCGUAUUCCAGAGGUCCGUGGUUCGAGUCCCGGCGAGGGUA
rnacentral:tRNA from 1 species